rnacentral:rRNA from 1 species
UACGGGGGGGGCAAGCGUUGUUCGGAAUUACUGGGCGUAAAGGGCUCGUAGGCGGCCAACUAAGUCAGACGUGAAAUCCCUCGGCUUAACCGGGGAACUGCGUCUGAUACUGGAUGGCUUGAAUCCGGGAGAGGGAUGCGGAAUUCCAGGUGUAGCGGUGAAAUGCGUAGAUAUCUGGAGGAACACCGGUGGCGAAGGCGGCAUCCUGGACCAAUACUGACGCUGAGGAGCGAAAGCCAGGGGAGCAAACGGG